AUACAGAAAAUGCUUCCUGAAACUUUCGAAGUAUAAGUCUAGGCAUUAAUUACCAAAUUCUUUCAAACUACCUUUAAAGUGAACUUUUCAUAAUUGACUUUGUAGAGGCUAAAUGGUAGUUAAAAGAUUUAUAGGACUAAAAGGACACUAAUUGAUUUUGUGAUUCUGUUUGAAUUCCAAACUACUGAACUGAUUCAUAUCUUUGGAGGUAUUUUAAAGGAACACACUAUCCUUUUUCAGUUCUAUUUUAAAGCUCAAACUUUUGUUUCUUUUUCAAAAACUUUUGAAAAUCUUUUUUUCAUGGAUAAAAUCUACACAAGGUGGGCGUGUGCUUCUUAUUCAGUUAUAUUUUUGCUGUACUUACAUAAUUUAGUAUAAUUUAGAAGUGAAGUCAUUGUCAUGUUUCUGCAACAAAGGUACUAAAUUUUUUUCCUUUGUUACACUACUGCUUGCAUGCAACGGCACAUGUUUUGCAGAAUAUACAUUUUCUAGUUAUAUCCCAUUCAGAUAACUGACCAAACUCUUGUCUCAAUAUUUCUUCCUGGGUUAGCACAGUCAGACUGUCUACCUUGGACACUGUCUCCUUCAAGAUUUACUGAUUGUAAACUAUAUGGAUUAUUAAAAGAGAAUAUUAAUCCUCAUGGGAUAAAAGAAACAUGUUAAAAGUAAGAAGAGAGCAUCUAUUAUAAAAAAGGCACACUUAAACCAUCAGUUUCAUCAGCAAGUAUGCUGGCUUUAAUUAACAAAAAUAGUUCUGCCUCUGAGAAACUGGAAAUAGGUAAAUUUCAUAGUGAUAAAUAUAUGAGCUUCCCUCAGAGACCCUCACUGUACUUAAAAUUUUCCAAUUUAAUUUCAAAGAUUUGUGUUGGAAGUAUGUAGCUUAACUAGAAGGAAUAGGAUACCUGCUGUAAAUCACCAAUGUAUAUAGAGAGAAACUUUCAUUUUUCAGAUAUUGUUGAAGUAUGAAGCUGAAGCUACUGUAAAUUGCAUAAUAAAAAUGGACAAGUAUCAGAAAGUAAGCAUAGAAGAGAUUUUGUAAGAAAAUGAAGAAUCUAAAAAAAGUUAUCAAAAAUAAUGGACAUGUUGUGGGAUUGAAAAACUCAAGUUAUAAAAAGAAGAAAGACAUGCACUAUGUCUUGUUACAUUUACCUGUUUAUAUAAAUAAUUCUGGUUUUGUUUCUUGCAGUUCGACUGACACAUCAAAGAAACACAGAAUGGUCGAGAUUGGAAGGGACCUCUGAAGAUCACCUAGUCCAAUAACCCUGCUGAGCAGGAUCAUCUAGAGCACAUUUUGCAGGAUGGCAUUCAGAAUUAGAGCCACCUGCUGUAAUGCAGAGCAAGCCACUGAGCAACAGCUGCUGGGUAAAAGGAGUACAGAGAAAUUCAAAGAGGAAAGGAAGAUGAACACCUUAGCAGCAUUUGUUCAGCUGUGAGACAGGUAGUAUUGUAUGACUACACAGCUGUCCACUUAGCAUCCUCUGCAUAUGGUGUGAAACUGCAGAUACAUUUAUGGGAACACCAACUGCAAGCUAACCACUGGGCUGCUGAGAGUUUUCUGCAAACACUGCCCUGGGGUCAUGCUCCCUGCUUGAGAUCAAUCUGCUGUCCUGCACAGGGAGGCUGUGGGGAUGCCAAGGUGCAACAUGAGGGGAGAAGUGAAAAUUGCUCAGUGCUCUACAGUGUUUGUGGAGGACAAGUUAAAGCGUUGAAAAAAAGAUGGGAAGAUGGAAAAACUUGUGUCCUGACUUCUUGCCCCUAAAUCUCCAGAGAACUGCUACUAGGGAAACAAUGAAUAUGGUCUAAAGGCUCUUAAUGAAUCAGUCAUCUUUUCACCUGCACCCAAUUCUGCAGCAACCUGCUACUGCAGGAGCAUUGUGAUAUGGAGUGUUUUAUGAAGAAUCUGUGGGAAACUGGACAGAAAAAUAAUGGUGACACCACUUUAAACUGGAAGGCUUCUCAGUAUGCUCAACUGUUGUGGGGAUGUUUUCUCUCAUCAUCACAAAUAACUGCUCCGUUGAAAUACGCUUGCACCUGGCUGAUCAUCCUCGAGGUAAGGUCAUGUGUCAUUUCAUGAAGUCAAUCCUAGAUCAAGUGUUCGGGAUUCACAAAGUUGACCUUGGCUGUUGAUUCACUGGGUUUAUGUCACAGAUGGAUUUUAUUGCAUAUCGUGUUUCAGUUUCUGUUUGAGCUUGUGCCAUACUGUGAUAAACAUGAAGAGAACAGGAUGAAGCUAAAACUUACCUAUUUGUAUGCUUGGUAUUGUAUCCUUCUGCUGAUUACAAAGAGGACUUAUUUCCAGUUCAAAUUUUUGUUCCAGGUCACCUACAAUGUAAAAAGAAAAUAAUUUGCUGCCAUUUAUGUCUGUUCUCCAUACCUACAUCAGACUUGUACGGUGACUGCAACUAUGUGGAUUUAAUCAGUUGUAGUCUUGCACCAAUGAAAACCAUGUUAGAUGUCUAAGUACUUUCAUUUUUUGGACUUUUUUUUUUAAGCAUCAGAGAAACUAAGCAAGCAUAGAAAGAAAAAUAUCUCUAAGGAAAGGUGAGUUUUGAAAGAACUUUAAAUGUGAGCACUUAAGUGUUCUGAGGACCUUCAUUUUAAAAAUAGCCUCUCUCGCUUACUACUAGAAAACUGCAGAAAACAUAUUCUAGAAAAAAAAUCCUCAUCUUGGUUAGUAUGGUUGUGUGAGUUGCUCUUGUGUGCUUGUGAAAAUUGUUGUUAAAGGCCAGCUCAAUGGAGCCUGGCAGUACGGACCCUUUCCUAGCCACCGUAUGGGAGGGAUGAGACCUGCUACCUAUAAGCUAAGCUGUGCUGCUUGUCCUUUUUAUUUACUAGUAUAUUUACUAAUAAGGAUGUUGUGAGUGCUGUUUAGAAGAAACAUUCCCAUAAAUCAGACAAAACAUUACAUUCAACCUCAAAAUAAACAUUUUGCUUCAAAUCCACUGAUUUUGUUUAGAAGCUUUUUUUAAUUGUCCCCUCUGAUUUUUGACUUAAAUGGUUUAGUGCUGGUUGGCCUCUAUAGCCCAGUACAUACUAUGUGCAUUUUUAAGCUUUCCCCUUCUCCUCCCUGCAGCAUGAAAUAGCUUCUUAAAUGUAAGUGAGGGGCGUAUUUUCAGUUUUAACUAGAUAUUUAGGAAAUACCAGGGAAAUGUUUUGAGCUUCACAAACAAUCAAAAGGAACUAUUCAUCAACACUGAGACAAAGUGAGUUUAUGUUUCCAAAUGUGCAGCUUGUUUGUUCUCUUCUUCUCUUCUACCCACUUCAAGAAAUCUUUGACAGAUAAAAGAGAACUCCAGUGAUGUAAGUAUGCUGGGUUCCAAACGGUUUGCAUGUAUGGCUCAAACUGUACCAACAUCUUGUCUUUGACAAACCAUUUAAUUGAGAAAGACAAAAUUUUUCUUAGCAUGGUAAGAACUUAAGGGAUGGUCAUUUUUUUUUUUUUUUUGUGUUCCAAGUUGCUAGAAAAGUAACUGCAUGAAUUGGUUGCUGAGAACUCUCACGCUGGGGGAAACCUUUCAACCAAUGUUACAACCUCUAGAGAAACUGAGCAUGAAUGUUGUUUAAACAUGAGCCAUUUUCUUGAAUCUUGUUCCUUGCCAAUUCCAGCUUUUUGUAAACAAAUCAAGUUGCAUUAUGUUCCCUCUGUUCCUAACUGACUUUUGAAAUGCCCAUUCAAAUGAUCCACUUUCAAGGUUUUUGCUGUACUGAGAUGCUCGAAUUUCUUAGGAUCAGGUUAAGCUAUUUUUCUAUGAAAGGUCUGCGUUAGGAAUUGUUGUAAGGAUCAG